rnacentral:rRNA from 1 species
CCUACGGGGCGCAGCAGUGGGGAAUAUUGCACAAUGGGCGCAAGCCUGAUGCAGCCAUGCCGCGUGUAUGAAGAAGGCCUUCGGGUUGUAAAGUACUUUCAGCGGGGAGGAAGGCGGUGAGGUUAAUAACCUCGCCGAUUGACGUUACCUACAGAAGAAGCACCGGCUAACUCCGUGCCAGCAGCCGCGGUAAUACGGAGGGUGCGAGCGUUAAUCGGAAUUACUGGGCGUAAAGCGCAUGCAGGCGGCCUGUUAAGUCAGAUGUGAAAGCCCGGGGCUUAACCUCGGAAUUGCAUUUGAAACUGGCAGGCUAGAGUCUUGUAGAGGGGGGUAGAAUUUCAGGUGUAGCGGUGAAAUGCGUAGAGAUCUGAAGGAAUACCAGUGGCGAAGGCGGCCCCCUGGACAAAGACUGACGCUCAGAUGCGAAAGCGUGGGGAGCAAACAGGAUUAGAUACCCGGGUAGUC